GUCCGCGGUCACACUGCUAGCUACCGUGUUCUAUUAUAUUAUUUUUUCUUUCAAAAUUUUUAUUGAUCCGGGCUGGUUGUGUUGCAGAGAAAGAACAGAAAAUGAAAUCGUCAAAGCAUGGUAGUGAAAACGCUUUGUUGUAUGAGAUAAAAAAAAGUUAAAAGAGCAAAAGGAUUGCAGCAGUAUUCAUGGAUUGAAAAUGGGUUUCUAGGUACAUAUGAGGCCGCCUCAACA